UUGAAAUCCGACACCAAUAUUUUUCAAUUAUCAAGAAGUAACCACAAAUUAAAAAAUAGAAGUUCAUUACCACACGAUGUAUAAUAAUUACAAAAGUGUUAAUAAUAAAAUAAUAAGAGGAAAAUAAACAACUGAAUUAUUACAAAAUUAUUUCUUUAUGCUAAAUAACAUAUCCACCAUUUCUUAGUUAUUAAUUAUUAUAUAAAAAGCGGAUUCCAGGGCUUUUUUUCAUUUUAGUUGUAGGCAAAUGCAUAAGAGUUGUAUAUAAGUGUAUAUCUGAGAAAAUCUUUUUAUUUAAGCCCUACUUGUUCUUGCCUAUUUGUCCAUUUUUGAUCAUGAGUGCCUUUUUGAACUUUUAUUUUACUUUUUUCUGUCUAUUUUACUUUUUUUCUACCUGUUUUACUUUUUUUUCUACCUAUUUUACUUUUAUCUGCCUAUUUUGUUGUAAAAUCUGUAUUUUCUAUACCCCUAAGCACAUGUUUCUCGUGAAGGUCACAUUUAAUACUUCCGGCACUAUAAAAAAAGACAAUCCAACCCGAGUUUUGGUUAAAAGUGUUGGGGGAAUUCCUUUCGCAAAAUCUUCAAUAUUUCAAUAACCCAAAACUAUUUUUCUGCGUAAACCAUCAAAGAUCAAAUUUUAUUGCACAGCUAAGUACGUAGGUAGGUUUUAAUUAUAUUAUUAUACAACAAGUGGAUUAAACAUACGUUUAUUCACGAGAAAAUGUUGAGAGGUCGUGAUCACAGUGCGAGUUCCAUUUUGAUGGUCUUAUCACUAUGGUCGUAUUAUUCCCAACUAACGAAAACGUUAUAUCUGAAGAAAAUAUUGAAUAAGCAGAUUUCAUCAAGUGUCAGCUUCCCUAAAACAACAGUUUGUAGAGCACAGACCAAAGAAAUCCAAGGUGUUCACACUCGAAGAAAUUGAGAGGUUCUUAGAUAAUGCUUCUGAUGGUGAAUAUUUACAGUGUUGAAAAAAAGCUAUUCUAUGGUGGCUAGAUUUGUACGUUUAUUGAUAGUUUGAGUG